UCUAAACAACCAGAUGUCCACAUCAUAAUACAAUGGCACUGAAUGAGAGCCAGGUCAUACCAUGUACACAACAUAGGUUUAGCUUACAGGUGAAUGAAUGAGACCCAGGUCAUACCAUGUUCACAACAUAGGUUUAGCCUACAGGUGAAUGAAUGAGACCCAGGUCAUACCAUGUACACAACAUAUGUUUAGCCUACAGGUGAAUGAAUGAGACCCAGGUCAUACCAUGUACACAACAUAGGUUUAGCCUACAGGUGAAUGAAUGAGACCCAGGUCAUACCAUGUUCACAACAUAGGUUUAGCCUACAGGUGAAUGAAUGAGAGCCAGGUCAUACCAUGUUCACAACAUAGGUUUAGCCUACAGGUGAAUGAAUGAGACCCAGGUCAUACCAUGUUCACAACAUAGGUUUAGCUUACAGGUGAAUGAAUGAGACCCAGGUCAUACCAUGUUCACAACAUAGGUUUAGCUUACAGGUGAAUGAAUGAGACCCAGGUCAUACCAUGUUCACAACAUAGGUUUAGCUUACAGGUGAAUGAAUGAGACCCAGGUCAUACCAUGUUCACAACAUAGGUUUAGCUUACAGGUGAAUGAAUGAGACCCAGGUCAUACCAUGUUCACAACAUAGGUUUAGCUUACAGGUGAAUGAAUGAGACCCAGGUCAUACCAUGUUCACAACAUAGGUUUAGCUUACAGGUGAAUGAAUGAGACCCAGGUCAUACCAUGUUCACAACAUAGGUUUAGCUUACAGGUGAAUGAAUGAGACCCAGGUCAUACCAUGUUCACAACAUAGGUUUAGCUUACAGGUGAAUGAAUGAGACCCAGGUCAUACCAUGUUCACAACAUAGGUUUAGCUUACAGGUGAAUGAAUGAGACCCAGGUCAUACCAUGUUCACAACAUAGGUUUAGCUUACAGGUGAAUGAAUGAGACCCAGGUCAUACCAUGUUCACAACAUAGGUUUAGCUUACAGGUGAAUGAAUGAGACCCAGGUCAUACCAUGUUCACAACAUAGGUUUAGCUUACAGGUGAAUGAAUGAGACCCAGGUCAUACCAUGUUCACAACAUAGGUUUAGCUUACAGGUGAAUGAAUGAGACCCAGGUCAUACCAUGUUCACAACAUAGGUUUAGCUUACAGGUGAAUGAAUGAGACCCAGGUCAUACCAUGUUCACAACAUAUGUUUAGCUUACAGGUGAAUGAAUGAGACCCAGGUCAUACCAUGUUCACAACAUAUGUUUAGCCUACAGGUGAAUGAAUGAGACCCAGGUCAUACCAUGUACACAACAUAUGUUUAGCCUACAGGUGAAUGAAUGAGACCCAGGUCAUACCAUGUACACAACAUAUGUUUAGCCUACAGGUGAAUGAAUGAGACCCAGGUCAUACCAUGUACACAACAUAUGUUUAGCUUACAGGUGAAUGAAUGAGACCCAGGUCAUACCAUGUUCACAACAUAUGUUUAGCUUACAGGUGAAUGAAUGAGACCCAGGUCAUACCAUGUUCACAACAUAGGUUUAGCCUACAGGUGAAUGAAUGAGACCCAGGUCAUACCAUGUUCACAACAUAGGUUUAGCUUACAGGUGAAUGAAUGAGACCCAGGUCAUACCAUGUUCACAACAUAGGUUUAGCUUACAGGUGAAUGAAUGAGACCCAGGUCAUACCAUGUUCACAACAUAGGUUUAGCUUACAGGUGAAUGAAUGAGACCCAGGUCAUACCAUGUUCACAACAUAGGUUUAGCCUACAGGUGAAUGAAUGAGACCCAGGUCAUACCAUGUUCACAACAUAGGUUUAGCCUACAGGUGAAUGAAUGGUACAACACAUAAAUUAUUGUCGCCCUUCUUCGCUUCCGACUGAACUUCUCUUAUUCAUUGAGUGUUGGAUAAAUUGUUUAGCUUUAAAGUGGAGAACAUUUAGCUUAAUAAACAAUUGAAUCAGAGCUCCAUCUACAUAAACGUACGAAUAGAAGACCAAAAAUAGAAAAGUGUUGAGUAAAAUAAAGGAUAGUCCUAUGCAGUAUAAUCGAGGUGAGGAGGAAGCUGGGUUGUGAA